GAUGAACGCUGGCGGCGUGCCUAAUACAUGCAAGUCGAGCGAACAGACGAGGAGCUUGCUCCUCUGACGUUAGCGGCGGACGGGUGAGUAACACGUGGAUAACCUACCUAUAAGACUGGGAUAACUUCGGGAAACCGGAGCUAAUACCGGAUAACAUGUUGAACCGCAUGGUUCAAAAGUGAAAGACGGUCUUGCUGUCACUUAUAGAUGGAUCCGCGCCGCAUUAGCUAGUUGGUAAGGUAACGGCUUACCAAGGCAACGAUGCGUAGCCGACCUCAGAGGGUGAUCGGCCACACUGGAACUGAGACACGGUCCAGACUCCUACGGGAGGCAGCAGUAGGGAAUCUUCCGUAAUGGGCGAAAGCCUGACGGAGCAACGCCGCGUGAGUGAAGAAGGUCUUCGGAUCGUAAAACUCUGUUAUUAGGGAAGAACAAAUGUGUAAGUAACUAUGCACGUCUUGACGGUACCUAAUCAGAAAGCCACGGCUAACUACGUGCCAGCAGCCGCGGUAA
rnacentral:rRNA from 1 species